rnacentral:lncRNA from 1 species
UGAGAAUGCCCAAGCCUUAGGCAUUAUCCACUGGGGCUGGGUACCCCACAAGGUGAAAAAUAAAAGCAAGAAACAAUCCUGGAGGAAGACAAUCUGUGCUCCGUAUGUAAAAAGAACUGUGGAUAGCAGCCCAAGAUGGUAUUUUGAAGUGAGUAGACACCUGGAGAACACAGUCUUCCUGCUACCGGGAUGAUGGAUAAACAUCUUCAAUCAAGACAUCCUAAGGACUCCUACGGGUUUAGAUGAAGCUGGCAUCUAUGUUCUUCUCUAGGAGACUCUCCAGUUGUGUUUGUUUGGAAGGCGACCUCGGUAAGCAUGGAGCUAGAUGUCAACUGAAGAGACGCUUCUGAGAGGGACUCAAAACUGCCGACCUUGGGAAUUUGCUCGAGAGGAGAGAAAUUCUUGGCCACAGAGAGAGUGCUGAGAAGACAGGGGAGUGAAAAGAACGUGUCAACAGAGUGAGCCAAGCCCAGGGGACAUGGCAGAGCGCCACAAGAAACCAUUGCUCGGCAAAGGACUCCUCAGAUGAGAGUGUACAAAAUAUGAUCAUCCCUCAUCACCAGGGGUAGCCCUAGGAUCCCUGCCCAGGGUACCACAAUCUUAGAGUACUCAAGUCCCUUAUAUAAACAGCAAAAUGAAUUAGG